rnacentral:rRNA from 1 species
UGGCGGCGUGGAUUAGGCAUGCAAGUCGAGGGAGAACCCGCAAGGGGGACACCGGCGAACGGGGUAGGAAUACGUAGGUAACGUACCCUCAGGACGGGGAUAGCCACGGGAAACUGUGGGUAAUACCCGAUGAUCUGGUCUGGAUUGAUUUCCGGAUCAGCAAAGGUGAGAUUCCACCUGAGGAGCGGCUUACGCGAUAUUAGCUUGUUGGUGAGGUAACGGCUCACCAAGGCUGCGAUAUCUAGGGGGUGUGAGAGCAUGGCCCCCACCACUGGGACUGAGAUACUGCCCAGACACCUACGGGUGGCUGCAGUCGAGAAUCUUCGGCAAUGGGCGAAAGCCUGACCGAGCGACGCCGCGUGCGGGACGAAGGCCUUCGGGUUGUAAACCGCUGUCGGGAGGGAUGAAGUGCACGGGGGCUAUCCCCUGUGUUUGACAGAGCUCCGGAGGAAGCACGGGCUAAGUUCGUGCCAGCAGCCGCGGUAAUACGAACUGUGCGAACGUUAUUCGGAAUCACUGGGCUUAAAGGGUGCGUAGGCGGCGCUGUAAGUCAGGUGUGAAAUCCCCCGGCUCAACCGGGGAAUGGCGCUUGAAACUGCAGUGCUUGAGUGAGGUAGGGGUGCAUGGAACUUCCGGUGGAGCGGUGAAAUGUGUAGAUAUCGGAAGGAACGCCGGCGGCGAAAGCGGUGCACUGGGCCUCGUCUGACGCUGAGGCACGAAAGCUAGGGUAGCGAACGGGAUUAGAUACCCCGGUAGUCCUAGCCGUAAACACUGAGCACUGGAGCGGAGGGGUUUCGGCCUUUCCGCUCGCAGCGAAAGCGUUAAGUGCUCCGCCUGGGGAGUAUGGUCGCAAGGCUGAAACUCAAAUGAAUUGACGG